GGCCACUCCUCUGUCACCCUCCUUCAGCCAAGUUGAGUCAGAUACCUCUCCUGUGUGCUCCCAUAGCAUGCUACCUCAUCAGAACACUUACCACAAAUAAUUAUACUCAAAUUAUUCUGUAAUUGUCUGUUUACCUGAUUCUCUAUUACUUAGAUCAUCAGGCUAGCACAGUACAUAGGAAGCAAUCAAGAAAUACUGAAAGAAUGAAAGAAUGAACGAACGAACAAACGAAGAGACUUAAGCCUGUGAAAGUUGAUGAGACAACUAAAGGAGAUAAUGGAGAGGACAGAACACUGGAACAAUAUCCACCUUGAGGGGGCAGGAAGAAAGAAGCUAGUGAAGGAAACAGAAUGAACAAUCAAAGAGAGACAGGGUUUCACCGUGUUGUCCUAGCUGGUCUUGAACUCCUGGGCUCAAGCAAUCUGCCCACCUUGGCCUCCCAAAGAGCUGGGAUUACAGGGCUUCUUUGGCAUGUCUCUCUCUCAGCAACCAGCAUAAGUCUGUAUGCAUAGACUCCUGUUGACUCUGCGGAGGUUAUUCAAUCAAGGCAGGCACUGACUUCAAAACCCAUUUUAUUCUUUCACCCAAAGAGCAGAAAAAAGAGAAACCAGCAACAUAACAGUGUGACGCCAACACAAAGGUACUUCUUAAAUUUUUAAAUAAAUGUAUGCCUCUCCAGUUUCAUAUAAAUAUAUUACUGGUCUGAACUUUUA